CAAUGUGAGGGUGAUACGGCUGUAACAUCUGUCACCCAGUUGAUUGCCAGUGUUGCUGCGGCUGAUCUGGCGAGGUAAGUGUCCUUCCUCCUUCAAGGCUCCAUAUGCAGCCCUCUGGAAGCGUCUCAUCUUGUUGAAGAGAAUGCCCACCCCCACCAGAGGAGGACUGUUUCCUAGGACAAGGUUAUAUGAGUAGCUGCAUUCCUCAGCUACAACCUCCAAACAAGGUCUCAAAGCAGCUUUAGAAGGCCAAAGUGUGAUGCAAUUCAAAGGAAAAAUAAAGGCUUAGUGGAGCCUGUAUUCCUCU
rfam:Fukomys damarensis contig96766, whole genome shotgun sequence.